rnacentral:rRNA from 1 species
GAUGAACGCUGGCGGCGUGCCUAAUACAUGCAAGUCGAGCGAACGGACGAGAAGCUUGCUUCUCUGAUGUUAGCGGCGGACGGGUGAGUAACACGUGGAUAACCUACCUAUAAGACUGGGAUAACUUCGGGAAACCGGAGCUAAUACCGGAUAAUAUUUUGAACCGCAUGGUUCAAAAGUGAAAGACGGUCUUGCUGUCACUUAUAGAUGGAUCCGCGCUGCAUUAGCUAGUUGGUAAGGUAACGGCUUACCGAGGCAACGAUGCAUAGCCGACCUGAGAGGGUGAUCGGUCACACUGGAACUGAGACACGGUCCAGACUCCUACGGGAGGCAGCAGUAGGGAAUCUUCCGCAAUGGGCGAAAGCCUGACGGAGCAACGCCGCGUGAGUGAUGAAGGUCUUCGGAUCGUAAAACUCUGUUAUUAGGGAAGAACAUAUGUGUAAGUAACUGUGCACAUCUUGACGGUACCUACUCAGAAAGCCACGGCUAACUACGUG